rnacentral:rRNA from 1 species
UACGUAGGUGGCAAGCGUUGUCCGGAAUUAUUGGGCGUAAAGCGCGCGCAGGCGGUCGUUCAAGUCGAGUGUGAAAGCCCCCGGCUCAACUGGGGAGGGUCACUCGAUACUGAUCGACUCGAAGGCAGGAGAGGGAAGUGGAAUUCCCGGUGUAGUGGUGAAAUGCGUAGAUAUCGGGAGGAACACCAGUGGCGUAGGCGACUUCCUGGCCUGUUCUUGACGCUGAGGCGCGAAAGCUAGGGGAGCAAACGGG